AUAAGUGAAUAGGUAAUACGUCGUAUAAUAUUGGGGAUAUGGCCCAAGAGUUUCUACCAAGCUACCUUAAAUGGCUUGACUACGGCGAUAGGACGGAUGCGU
rnacentral:ncRNA from 2 species